UGGGGGGAUAUUGCACAAUGGGGGGAAACCCUGAUGCAGCAACGCCGCGUGUGGGAAGAAGGUUUUCGGAUUGUAAACCACUGUUCUUAGCGAAGAAACAAAUGACGGUAACUAAGAAGAAAGCUCCGGCUAACUACGUGCCAGCAGCCGCGGUAAUACGUAGGGAGCGAGCGUUGUCCGGAUUUACUGGGUGUAAAGGGUGCGUAGGCGGGCCCGCAAGUCAGACGUGAAAGCCAUAGGCUUAACCUGUGAACUGCGUUUGAAACUGUGGGUCUUGAGUGAAGUAGAGGUAGGCGGAAUUCCCGGUGUAGCGGUGAAAUGCGUAGAGAUCGGGA
rnacentral:rRNA from 1 species